GAUGAACGCUGGCGGCGUGCCUAAUACAUGCAAGUCGAGCGAACAGACGAGGAGCUUGCUCCUCUGACGUUAGCGGCGGACGGGUGAGUAACACGUGGAUAACCUACCUAUAAGACUGGGAUAACGUCGGGAAACCGGAGCUAAUACCGGAUAAUAUAUUGAACCGCAUGGUUCAAUAGAGAAAGACGGUUUUGCUGUCACUUAUAGAUGGAUCCGCGCCGCAUUAGCUAGUUGGUAAGGUAACGGCUUACCAAGGCAACGAUGCGUAGCCGACCUGAGAGGGUGAUCGGCCACACUGGAACUGAGACACGGUCCAGACUCCUACGGGAGGCAGCAGUAGGGAAUCUUCCGCAAUGGGCGAAAGCCUGACGGAGCAACGCCGCGUGAGUGAUGAAGGUCUUCGGAUCGUAAAACUCUGUUAUUAGGGAAGAACAAAUGUGUAAGUAACUAUGCACGUCUUGACGGUACCUAAUCAGAAAGCCACGGCUAACUACGUG
rnacentral:rRNA from 1 species